GGCCUACCAUGGUGGUAACGGGUGACGGAGGAUUAGGGUUCGAUUCCGGAGAGGGAGCCUGAGAAACGGCUACCACAUCCAAGGAAGGCAGCAGGCGCGCAAAUUACCCACUUCCAGAACGGAGAGGUAGUGACGAAAAAUAACGAGACAGUCCUCUUCGAGGUCUGUCAUCGGAAUGGGUACAAUUUAAAUCCUUUAACGAGGAUCUAUUGGAGGGCAAGUCUGGUGCCAGCAGCCGCGGUAAUUCCAGCUCCAAUAGCGUAUAUUAAAGUUGUUGCGGUUAAAAAGCUCGUAGUUGAAUUUCGGGAUCAAUGUUUCGGUCAUGCCGUUGGUAUGUACUGAUAUUAUUGGUUUCUCACCUUCUAAAGAACCGUAAUGCCAUUAAUUUGGUGUCACGGGGAAUUAGGACUGUUACCUUGAAAAAAUUAGAGUGUUUAAAGCAGGCUCACGCUUGAAUACAUUAGCAUGGAAUAAUGAAAUAGGACAUCCGAUUCUAUUUUGUUGGUUUCUAGGAUCGAUGUAAUGAUUAAUAGGGAUAGUUGGGGGCAUUAGUAUUCAAUUGUCAGAGGUGAAAUUCUUGGAUUUAUUGAAGACUAACUACUGCGAAAGCAUUUGCCAAGGAUGUUUUCAUUAAUCAAGAACGAAAGUUAGGGGAUCGAAGACGAUCAGAUACCGUCGUAGUCUUAACCAUAAACUAUGCCGACUAGGGAUCGGAUGAUGUUAAUUUUUUAAUGACUCAUUCGGCGCCUUACG
rnacentral:rRNA from 1 species